rfam:Clostridium sp. CAG:575 genomic scaffold, scf101
GGGGAUGUAUUGGUUUCGACAUAUUACCAGAAAUAUAGAUAGCAAGUAGUGGAUUCUCGUUGGCCACUUAAAAAACGAGAAAUUAAAGAUAAACGCUGAUAAUCAAGAAUUAGCAUACGCUGCCUAAUUGCAGUGUCAUCUUACUAAAUAGCCUACUGGUUUAGAUAAGGUGUCAAUUAAAGUAGGAAACGAAGCUAUUUUUGCUUUAGAAAUAGUAGGUAAUUUAUAAAGCUAUCGCUAGUUUUAUCCUGUUUAUCGGAGAAAAAUAGAGGAAGAUAAUAGAUAAAAUAAACUUGUAGAAGUCUGUAUGGAAAGUAUUAUGGACAGGAGUUCGAUUCUCCUCAUCUCCACCA